rnacentral:rRNA from 1 species
ACGAACGCUGGCGGCGUGCUUCACACAUGCCAGUCGCACGGUGAUGCUCCAGCUUGCUGGAGUGGAUCAGUGGCGAACGGGUGAGUAACACGUGAGCAACCUGCCCCAGACUCUGGAAUAAGCGCUGGAAACGGCGUCUAAUACUGGAUACGAAACUGGCCCGCAUGGGCAUGGUUUGGAAAGUUUUUCGGUUUGGGAUGGGCUCGCGGCCUAUCAGCUUGUUGGUGAGGUAAUGGCUCACCAAGGCGACGACGGGUAGCCGGCCUGAGAGGGCGACCGGCCACACUGGGACUGAGACACGGCCCAGACUCCUACGGGAGGCAGCAGUGGGGAAUAUUGCACAAUGGGCGAAAGCCUGAUGCAGCGACGCCGCGUGAGGGAUGACGGCCUUCGGGUUGUAAACCUCUUUCAGCAGGGAAGAAGCGAAAGUGACGGUACCUGCAGAAGAAGCACCGGCUAACUACGUG